GACGAACGCUGGCGGCGUGCUUAACACAUGCCAGUCGAACGGAAAGGCCCUGCUUUUGUGGGGUGCUCGAGUGGCGAACGGGUGAGUAACACGUGAGUAACCUGCCCUUGACUUUGGGAUAACUUCAGGAAACUGGGGCUAAUACCGGAUAGGAGCUCCUGCUGCAUGGUGGGGGUUGGAAAGUUUCGGCGGUUGGGGAUGGACUCGCGGCUUAUCAGCUUGUUGGUGGGGUAGUGGCUUACCAAGGCUUUGACGGGUAGCCGGCCUGAGAGGGUGACCGGCCACAUUGGGACUGAGAUACAGCCCAGACUCCUACGGGAGGCAGCAGUGGGGAAUAUUGCACAAUGGGCGGAAGCCUGAUGCAGCAACGCCGCGUGCGGGAUGACGGCCUUCGGGUUGUAAUCCGCUUUCGCCUGUGACGAAGCGUGAGUGACGGUAAUGGGUAAAGAAGCACCGGCUAACUACGUG
rnacentral:rRNA from 1 species